UACUAAAGUGAUAGUACAAGAGGUGAUAUAAACCUGUUAUAAUGAACGUGUUACAAAAGUCUUAAAUACUUCAUAGGGUUCACUAACCAAUCUUAUUGAGAUGAAGACUAUUACCUCCUCUUAUCAUUAACCAACCUCGGGAGGUUAUUGAGCUCCGAUUUAUGAAAACCCCGGCCAGGUAUUGCAUACACCCAAUUGAUAUCCAUCCAUGUCGAUUUUUUUUUAUCACUCAGCUCAAAUUAAAUAUUUUUUGAAAUAAAAAAAAAAACAGAAAAAGAAAUUAAAAAAAAAAAAUUUGUCUUUGUUCUCUCUCGCCUGCCUCACCGCCGCCGUUUCUCUCAUCGACGUCGCCACCUCUUCCGUUGACUAUCGUCUCUCUCUCUCACUAGCACUUCACUCUCUCCCUCGCCAUCUCUCUCAAACUUGAGAUCUGAUGACGGCGACGGAAACGGGGACAACUGGGAGGGUGUGGUGGCAAGGUAAGGCAGCAAGCAAGAAGAUCAAAUGUGUGAUUUAUUCCAACUAUUAGGUGAUUCUAUCUCACCUAGUAGAUAUAUGGAGAUGUGAUAGGGACUCAAGAGCCAUCAACUCUGAUUAUUCUCUUGUAUCUGCUCAACUUCUGCCAGCUUAGCUCUGUCUGAAGUGGAUUCAUUGGGUUUGGGGCGAGUGUGGAGAAAUUAUGCCCCUUCUCUAUGCAAUUGCUAUUGAAUAGGCUACCAACCCAUGCAAAUUUGUAUAAGUAUAGAACGAUUGGAGACUGAAAUAUACUUGUUUGCCACUUUUCAUUUUUAAUGAUAUGAAGUGGGUGUUUAGGUGGUUAGGUUUGAUAAUUUCCAUGCAGAAGAUCUAUUCCUUCUAUUCCUAAUCUUCACAUCCUUUGGGAGUGGUAAUUUAGGUAAUAAAAGGUUGACCUUUAUCUGACAUUAUGUUAUAUAGCCAAUUUGGAAUUUGAAAAAAUGAUGUAUUAUCUCAAAUAAAGAUGGAGAUGCAAUAUAUUUUGUAGAUCUCAUAAAGGUACAAUAAUCGUGGAAGUGAUUCUUCAAUAGCGGUAAGGGUCAUUGUCUGUUUUACGAGUGCAACCCUCUUGAUUGUUUGCUUCGACUGUAAUCCUAUGUGAGUGAUGUGAUUAUUCAUGGACAUUUGUAUUCGGGUUAGAGUUCUGUUUGUGCUCCAAUUGUCACAGAUGAUGCCACUUGGCACUCCAGCUUUGCAUAGCUGGCAGAUUGCGAUUACUAGGUCGUGAUGAAGCAUGUCAAUUGAGUAAACAAGUUCAAGAAGAUAACAAGCACAUUGAGAUUUGUCAAGAAAGUUGGACUGACCUGAUCCUUCCACUGCAGUGACAUCCUGAACUACUAGUUGAAAAGAUUUUGGCUUGGUAGAAGAGCAUUCUUCUGGAUUUGAAACGGGCGCUGGAAAUGUGAAAUCAGAGUCUGUAGAUGAAGUAUCAGAGUUACUGGAAGCAACAUCAACUCUAGCAAUAGGUCGAAAAGUUGAACUCAAUCUUGAUGAAGUACUUAAGAUCGUCUUCAGCUCGGCAACUUGAGUUGACAUGGAAGAUAUCAUCCUGAUACACACUAAUUCAGAUCUAGCAUUAAUCAAAUAGCAUUUAGUUUUAUAAGUCAUAAUUUACAUCAUGGUAGUGUCGGUAAAAGGCCAACAAAGUAAAAAAACAAAAAUUCAUUGAUGCUGUCAUGACAGUUAAACUCAAAAUAAUUAUGUCCCCCUCAUAUAUUAUAUAACUCUGAACCUAUUUUUUUUGUUCAAAGGA